AUGUCGUCCGCCGUCUCAUUGCAGUCGACGAUGCGGCCAGCAGCCCCGGGACUUGGGCGCCAGCUGCACGGGUCGCCGCCCUGCCACGGUCCGCUGCUCCGACCGAGGAGGCCGCGGGCGGUGGCGACGGUGUGCUGCGGUGCCUUCCGGCGGGACCACUACGGGGGCGCGCUGGUGGACGAGGGCAUGGCGGUGCUCCGGCGGAGGAUCCGGGAGGCGCGGAUGGCCGAGACCAACUACGAGGCGCCGCCGGGGUGGGCGGCCUGGGAGAAGCGCUACUACCGGGCGUACGUCUCUGAUGUGUCCACGCUCGCCGGCGCUCUGCAGUUGCUGGCCAUGGAUACCAGGCCCGGCGUCGCGGCUGCUGUUGCCGCGCUGGUGCUCGCCGGCGUGCCGGUGUCCGCCGUCUUCGCGCUGCACCUCCUUGGGCAGGCGGCGGGAUCCGUUUUGCACCUUGUUUCUUGA
rnacentral:rRNA from 1 species